AACGCGAAGAACCUUACCUACCCUUGACAUCCUCGGAAGCUGACAGAAAGGUUAGUGUGCUCGCAAGAGAGCCGAGAGACAGGUGCUGCAUGGCUGUCGUCAGCUCGUGUCGUGAGAUGUUGGGUUAAGUCCCGUAACGAGCGCAACCCCUAUCUUUAGUUGCUAGCAGGUAAAGCUGAGAACUCUAGAGAGACUGCCGGUGAUAAGCCGGAGGAAGGUGGGGAUGACGUCAAGUCCUCAUGGCCCUUACGGGUAGGGCCACACACGUGCUACAAUGGCCGGUACAAAGGGAAGCGAAGCUGCGAAGUGAAGCGAAUCUCAUAAAGCCGGUCGUAGUCCGGAUUGGAGUCUGCAACUCGACUCCAUGAAGUUGGAAUCGCUAGUAAUCGCGGAUCAGAAUGCCGCGGUGAAUACGUUCCCGGGCCUUGUACACACCGGAGUA
rnacentral:rRNA from 1 species